AUGAGGCUCCCUGCUCAGCUUCUGGGGCUGCUGAUGCUCUGGACCCCAGGCUCCAGUGGGGAUGUCGUGCUGACCCAGACCCCCCUCUCCCUGGCCGUCGCCCCUGGGGAGCAGGUCUCCAUCUCCUGCAGGGCCAGUCAGAGCCUAGUAGAUAGUGAUGGAGACAGCCUUUUGUACUGGUACCUGCAGAAGCCGGGCCAGUCUCCAAGGCUCCUGAUCUAUUGGGCUUCCAAUAGGGCAACAGGGGUCCCCGACAGGUUCAGUGGCAACGGGUCGGAGACAGAUUUCACCCUGAAGAUCAGCAGGCUGGAACCUGAGGAUGCUGGAGUCUAUUACUGCCAGCAGGGUACACAUGUUCCUCCCACGGUGGUUGAGCCCCGAACAAAAACCUCCCUCAUUCCAGCCUCCCUGCCUGGGACUCCAGGGGAGAACGCCACCAUCACCUGCUGGACCAACCAGGACCUCAGCACAGGUGCACACCGGUACCUGCAAACCACAGCAGGCUCUCGAGUGACUCGUGAACAUGCUCCCCAAUCCAUCUGGGUCUUGGGGUUCCCAUCUCAGUUCAGUGACAAUGAAUCUGGAACAGACUUUAUGCUCACCAUCAUGACCUUGGAAGCUGAAGACGGAGAACUAACUUAA